UGGGGAAUAUUGCACAAUGGGCGAAAGCCUGAUGCAGCGACGCCGCGUGAGGGAUGACGGCCUUCGGGUUGUAAACCUCUUUCAGCAGGGAAGAAGCGAAAGUGACGGUACCUGCAGAAGAAGCGCCGGCUAACUACGUGCCAGCAGCCGCGGUAAUACGUAGGGCGCAAGCGUUGUCCGGAAUUAUUGGGCGUAAAGAGCUCGUAGGCGGUUAGUCGCGUCUGCUGUGAAAACUCGAGGCUCAACCUCGGGCUUGCAGUGGGUACGGGCUGACUAGAGUGCGGUAGGGGUGACUGGAAUUCCUGGUGUAGCGGUGGAAUGCGCAGAUAUCAGGAGGAACACCGAUGGCGAAGGCAGGUCACUGGGCCGCAACUGACGCUGAGGAGCGAAAGCAUGGGGAGCGAACAGGAUUAGAUACCCUGGUAGUCCAUGCCGUAAACGUUGGGCACUAGGUGUGGGGUCCAUUCCACGGAUUCCGUGCCGCAGCAAACGCAUUAAGUGCCCCAGCCUGGGGAGUACGGCCGCAAGGCUAAAACUCAAAUGAAUUGACGGGGUCAUAGCUGUUUCCU
rnacentral:rRNA from 1 species